AUGCCUCCGAUCUCCCACUACUGUCACCCAGGACACGAUGCUUCUGAUCUCCCACUACUGUCACCCAGGACACGAUGCCUCCGAUCUCCCACUACUGUCACCCAGGACACGAUGCCUCCGAUCUCCCACUACUGUCACCCAGGACACGAUGCCUCCGAUCUCCCACUACUGUCACCCAGGACACGAUGCCUCCGAUCUCCCACUACUGUCACCCAGGACACGGUGCCUCCGAUCUCCCACUACUGUCACCCAGGACACGAUGCUUCCGAUCUCCCACUACUGUCACCCCAGGACAAGAUGCUUCCGAUCUCCCACUACUGUCACCCCAGGACAAGAUGCUUCCGAUCUUCCACUACUGUCACCCAGGACACGGGGAGUACCGAGACAGUAGGCUGCAGAAUGCACACGGACACAAACCAACCACAGGACCACACUGUCCGUGAUGGACGUCCUUCUCUGUGUCCUCGUUUCCUGGUUCACAUGAAGGCCUGUCCUGCAGACCUCAGAACCCCACAUCUCCUAUCCAAUAACCCCAGGCCACGUCCUCCUCGCCAGGAAUUGACACAACAAAGACACGCCCUUGGCGGCCUGAAGACGCAUUCAUGUGCAGACUCCAGGAGCCUGCAGCACUGCAGCACCACCAGAGGGAGGCGCUUAGCUGUUGUUGUUCCCUGUGUACCAGUGCCAGUCUCCCCCUCUCCCAGCAGAGCCUCCCCUGAGCUCUCAGUCUGUCCAAGUCCAACAUCCUCUACUGUCACUGACUCUGGGCAGCAGGGGACUGGAUACAACCCUGCUCCAUCAUCAGCCCUACCUCAUGGCCAUACUCAGAAAGGAGAGAAGGAAACAGAGGAUGGUGUUAAAGAGAUGGAUGAAGGCACUUCGGCUUCCUCAGGGGCCUUCCGCCCUCCAAGGCCAGACCAGGAGCCCAAUUCUGGUCCUGAGGACAUAGACCCCUCAGUUUCUCCAAUCCCUAGUGUCUGUGAGGGUUCUCUCUCAGACUUUAGCCGCCCACCAUCCAGCCAGUUCAGCCGAAGCACAGACCUGGGUAGUGGCCGGAGCAGUCCUCUAUGUGGUAUUGUACCUACGCUGCUUUGAAACAAUUGAAGUGAAAUGUAUUGAAAGCUGUUGCAUUCCCCAUGGGCUAUUAGUUGUUUCAUAAAUGUAGAAA
rnacentral:lncRNA from 1 species